CAAGUAAUCUCUCCGUCCGGAAAUAUUUGUUGGAGAAAUGGAUGUAUCUAGACGUAUUUUAGUAGUAGAUACAUUCAAUUUUAUCCAUCUCUUUGAUAAGUAUUUCGGGACGGAGGAAGUAUGUC
rnacentral:pre_miRNA from 1 species